UACAGAGGUCCCAAGCGUUGUUCGGAUUCAUUGGGCGUAAAGGGUGCGUAGGCGGCGCGGUAAGUCGGGUGUGAAAUCUCGGAGCUUAACUCCGAAACUGCAUUCGAUACUGCCGUGCUUGAGGACUGGAGAGGAGACUGGAAUUUACGGUGUAGCGGUGAAAUGCGUAGAUAUCGUAAGGAAGACCAGUGGCGAAGGCGGCUUUCUGGUCUGCUCUUGACGCUGAGGCGCGAAAGCUAGGGUAGCAAACGGG
rnacentral:rRNA from 1 species